rnacentral:lncRNA from 1 species
GGGUUUCUCUAUUUUUUCUUAAAGUAAUUUUGUUUAAUUAUUACUCUGGAAGCUACGAUUUUGAUAUAACUGUUUGGAGGGUUGGAGCUGUGAGAACUGUUUAUCAAAACAACUCUAUUUGAUUUCUAUAUAAUUAACCUCUAAUCCCAUAAAACUUUCACCGUUUAGGUUUCAUAUGGCAUAAGAAAGAAAUAACAUAUGGUUGAAUGAUGAAUAAAGAAGUUGCAAUGAUCAUUUUAUGCUGUGAAAUCAUAGCUCAUUGACGUUUUUAUCCUGUGUUUGAUUUCUUGUAAAGCAACUUUAAAACAUUUACUUCGCAAAUUUUAAGGAAACAAUUCAGUUCAAAUGGCAAUUCAACUUUAUCCAUGGUAUGUAACAAAAGUCAGCUUAGGAGUUGAAAAAAACAAUUUCAAGUUAACUAUAUAUAUGAAUAUUUAUAAUAAACCGUGGAAACAUACAACAUCAUGUGAGUUCAAUAAUGCCAAUAACUAAUAUAUAGGUAGUUAGAUACAUGAUUAAAUCAAAAAUCAUCUUUAGAAGUGCAACAUCCACUAAACUAAACGGUUUAUUCCCC